GGAUGUGAUAUUGGGGUAAGAGCAUUGGCAUCACAUCCCAUGAAAUCCAACAAGAAAGGCAUUGGUGAGAAGCAUGUACCUGUGCACAUUGCCGGAACCCUGAUUCGUGAAGGUGAAUGGCUAUAUGCAGAUAGCGAUGGCAUUCUUAUCUCAAAAUCUGAGCUCUUCGUUUGAAUAACAACUGGGGCUUCAAUGUCAUUUUGCUCAGCUCAGCUCAUUAGUUGAGAGGAUUCCCCAGGCCACC
rnacentral:misc_RNA from 1 species